rnacentral:rRNA from 1 species
AAACAUGUCUUCUUGGUUUUUAUAGGAAGUCUGACCUGCCCAGUGAAUAAGAAUUUUUAACGGCCGCGGUAUUUUGACCGUGAAAGGUAGCAUAAUCAUUAGUCUUUUAAUAGAAGGCUGGCAUGAAUGGUUUGACGAGGUGCUGACUGUCUCAUUUAAUUUUAUAUUAGAAUUUAACUUUUUAGUUAAAAGGCUAAAAUUUUUUUGGAAGACGAGAAGACCCUAUAGAGCUUUAUAAUACUUUUGUCUAAUCAUAUUUAGUUUAAUUUCUUUGGUUAUUCAUAUUAUUAUUCUGUUGGGGUGACAAAAAUAUAUAAUUAACUUUUUUAUUUAUAUAACAUUAAUUUAUGAUUUAUAGGAUCCAUUUUUAGUGAUUAUUAGACUAAGUUACCUUAGGGAUAACAGCGUAAUCUUCUUUCAGAGUUCAAAUUUACAAGAAGGCUUGCGACCUCGAUGUUGGAUUAAGAUUAUAAUUAGGUGCAGCCGCUUAAUUUUAUAGGUCUGUUCGACCUUUAAUUUCUUAC